CGCCGCGAGCCCGCGCCCCCGCCAGCUCGGAGCGGCUUUGCUCCGCCCGACCGCUGCGCGCCCAGGAAAAUCCCCCCCGCUGCCACCCACUGCCGGCGCCCGGUGAUGUCAUUGUUUGUGGAAAUCUGCACAGCUCCGGGCAGGGAAUUACGGUGUAUUCAGACUCUCUAGGAAGAAGAAUUCAGAUCCACACACUAUCAAGUCGAGGAAAAUCUGCUAUGUCAGAGACGGGGAACAGGGCAAACCAUAGUCAUCCAUAGGAGGAACUUCUGGACCUGUGCAUAUUGUUUGAACCACCGCAGAAGGUUUGUCCUCAUAUUGCAGUUUGGUGCAAAAUGAAUGGUGCAGAACAAUACUGACAGAUUCAGUUAUAGGGAGACAUGUACAAGGAAGACCUGGCAACUUUCCUCAGCAAGAACAGAUGAAUGAAUAAGGAAAAUGAGCUUGUGCCUUUUACCUGAGGUGAUUUGUCAAAAGCCCACAGCACUGUGGCUGUUCCCAGACUUUAAGGGAUAUACUCAACCUCA
rnacentral:lncRNA from 1 species